rnacentral:rRNA from 1 species
UGCCCUACGGGAGGCAGCAGUAGGGAAUCUUGCGCAAUGGGCGAAAGCCUGACGCAGCCAUGCCGCGUGAAUGAUGAAGGUCUUAGGAUUGUAAAAUUCUUUCACCGGGGACGAUAAUGACGGUACCCGGAGAAGAAGCUCCGGCUAACUUAGUGCCAGCAGCCGCGGUAAUACGAAGGGGGCUAGCGUUGCUCGGAAUUACUGGGCGUAAAGGGCGCGUAGGCGGACAGUUUAGUCCGAGGUGAAAGCCCAGGGCUCAACCUUGGAAUUGCCUUUGAUACUGGCUGUCUUGAGUACGGGAGAGGUGAGUGGAACUCCGGGUGUAGAGGUGAAAUUCGUAGAUAUUCGGAAGAACACCAGUGGCGAAGGCGACUCACUGGCCCGUUACUGACGCUGAGGCGCGAAAGCGUGGGGAGCAAACAGGAUUAGAUACCCCAGUAGUCCG